ensembl:snoRNA SNORA70 Small nucleolar RNA SNORA70
CUGCAGUCAACUAAGAUGACCAAGUUGCUUCCCUCAUGGGGGCCUAGUGGGCAAUGACUGCAAAUAGCAGCCUCUAUGACGGUAUACACAGCCUGCUGUCAAUAUGAGUUGCCCUAAGGAAUCUUGGAGAUACUU